AACGAACGCUGGCGGCAGGCCUAACACAUGCAAGUCGAGCGCCCCGCAAGGGGAGCGGCGGACGGGUGAGUACCGCGUGGGAAUAUGCCCUUUGCUACGGAAUAGUCUCGGGAAACUGGGGGUAAUACCGUAUACGCCCUUUGGGGGAAAGAUUUAUCGGCGAAGGAUUAGCCCGCGUUGGAUUAGGUAGUUGGUGGGGUAAUGGCCUACCAAGCCGACGAUCCAUAGCUGGUUUGAGAGGAUGAUCAGCCACACUGGGACUGAGACACGGCCCAGACUCCUACGGGAAGCAGCAGUGGGGAAUCUUAGACAAUGGGGGCAACCCUGAUCGAGCCAUGCCGCGUGAGUGAUGAAGGCCUUAGGGUUGUAAAGCUCUUUCAGCUGGGAAGAUAAUGACGGUACCAGCAGAAGAAGCCCCGGCUAACUCCGUG
rnacentral:rRNA from 1 species